GGAAAACAAAAGGGAACUGUUUAUAUCCAGUCCAUAAGAGGAUCCUUUUGUGAUUUACAGCUUUAUUUGCGGAAUUUUAAUCCAAUGAAGCAAGAUAAAUAAAUAAUAUUUCUACAUUUGAGAGAAGAGUACAUUUUACUAGGUGACCUAUAAUAAGGAACCCCACGAAAUGUCGUCAUAAUUUGGGAAUUCCAUUCCUCAAGUUUUCUAUAUCUAUAAACAACUUAUAGCACAAUACUCUGCUCAAUUAAAAGCCCUUAUCUUUCAUGAAUGAUAC